UGGUUGAGGCCUCGGGUGCAAAGAGCCUCGCUCUCGGGAGGGGGAAGGACAAGAACCGACCGGCCAGGCCUGGGGGUCUGGUGGGGGCCGGGAGAGCUGUCCCUUUUUUCCUGUUCGCUUGUCCAGACCCUGAAUCCCGCGAGCCCUGAGCAGGGAGGCACCGGGCGAGAGACGGGUAGCAGCACCCGGCGCCGCCCAGGUCGCCCCGGGCAGCAGGACCGAGGGCUGCGCGGCGAGAAGCGCCCGGGACUCCGGGCCGAGGGGGCAGUGGAGCGGGGCACGACCCGGGCCCGGCCAACCGUGCCGGGCGCGCCUCGGGGAGCACACGGAGGCCGCCCCUCGGCGCAGGACAGCCACAGAGCGGCCGGUGAGCCCGGGGCCAACUCCACAACUUGCCGGCCCAGCUGCCUCCCCCCCCCCCCACCCCCACCCCGAGUUCCCGGGAAGAUUCGGACCCGGCAGGAGAGGCGGAAUAUCCCCGGAAACGAUUCCUCCCCGAGGCUGAGCCCACCCCGCCGUCCGCGUCCGCUCCCGCCGCAGGCAGCGCGGUCCCCGGCGCCCCGACGCCCCCGCGGCCCUGCCAGCCGCCGCCGCCGCCGCCGCCGCCGCCGCCGCGGGGCCGCGCUCCCGGGCCGUUUCCGGCGGCGCCCGCGGCCGCUCCUGCAGCCCCCGGCCGCGGCCGCCACUCACCCGAGGCCGCCGCGGCUCCGCGCCUCGGGCUCCGUCAGGCGCACUCCACGAAGGCGCCCCGCCGCCCCGUGCUCCCUCGGCGCCCCGGCGAGCUCUCCCCUCCGGUCAGCAGCGCUGCCAAGCGCAGUGGCAGCCGCGGGGCCACCGGCGGGCGUGCGCGGGCGGGCGGGAGGGCUUGGGGCCGGCGCGUCCCUCCGCCUCGGCCGCCUCCUCCACCUCCUCCGCCUCCGCCUCCUCCGCCUCCGCCGCCGCCGCCGCCGCCUCCCGAGUUCGGGGCUCUGCUGCAAUGUCUGCGAGGCUGACUUUGAGCGCCUCGCUCGCCGCCCGCCCGCCCGCAGCCGCGCUCCUCCCUCCGCCGCCGAGUCCGCCGCGGCCCAGUCCCUCCCCUCGCCGCUCCACGCCAUUCAGCUCUUCAGCCAAGUUUCUUAA
rnacentral:lncRNA from 1 species